UACGUAGGGUCCGAGCGUUUGUCCGGAAUUACUGGGCGUAAAGAGCUCGUAGGUGGUUUGUCACGUUGUUCGUGAAAACCCACAGCUCAACUGUGGGCGUGCGAGCGAUACGGGCGGACUUGAGUACUGCAGGGGAGACUGGAAUUCCUGGUGUAGCGGUGGAAUGCGCGGAUAUCAGGAGGAACACCGGUGGCGAAGGCGGGUCUCUGGGCC
rnacentral:rRNA from 1 species